CUUUAAGAAUAAAUUAUAUUAUUUAUGCAAUUCAGCUGUUUCGUCGUCUAUUUGUUCACAUUCGGAACCCUCGGUUUUCAUUGUCUAAAGUCCAGUCUGAUUACUUCAUCCGGUAACGAACAUUUGCAGACAGACACAUUUUCUUGGUUUGAAAUUGAAUCGCUUGUAAUCGUAAACCAUGUCGGCAGAGGUCGUGGUAGGAAACGCCGGGCGCAGGAGGCAUUACCACCCAUCGAUGGACCCACAGAUUCGGGGGAAUCGGAACCCAGACAUACCGCUUGGAAUACUGGUCUGUUCAAAGCAGCGGUGACGUACCGAGGCUUCAUAACAAGUUCCACCUCACCCAACGAGCGAAAAGGUCCUCCAUAUGUGUGGCCAAACCAUACCAAGAACGUCUACUCUGCUACAACAUUGUUACCGGUCUACCUGUCAAGCAGCCUUUGCAAGGGCUUUCAACACGGUCCUGUUCAUGCCUCGGUGUUCGAUGAAUAGAAUAACAGUCAUCAUCCGCGUUCUUAACCUUAUACAGCCUUCACAUAUUUCGAACAUUCUCUAUAUCCAGGAAACGCUCUUGGCCUUAUGGGACCAGACAUUCCACUGUGUUUGAACUAUUACAAAAAACUUGUUGGAUUUGUGGUGGACUUUUGUUACAAUUUGUUAUUUACUCUAAACCAGUUAAUUCCUAUGUCGGGUUCUUCCAGUACUUGCCUCGCCUAAAAGUGUUAAUAACCUAAACGUUCGUAAUCUUGAUGAACUGCGAAACAUUCAUUAUUUUUACAUGGCAUAUGCCAAAUGUUCCUAAUCUUGAUGAACUGCGAAGCAUUCAUUACUUUACAUUGUAUUUUCUAAGUGUGAUUCGUGACAAUUUGUUAUUCACUCUAAACCAGUUAAUUCCUAUGUCAGGUUCUUCCGGUACUUGCCUCACUUAAAAGUGUUAAUAACUUAAACGUUCGUAAUCUUGAGGAACUGCGAAGCAUUUAUUACUUUUAAAUUGUAUUUCUUAAGUGUGUUUAUUUGUAAGCGUCUCAACAAUUUAUGGCUUACUUGUCGUGUUUUGUUUUUUCGGGAGGGAAAAUUUACAUUGGCCGAGAGUCAGUCGGGCUGGGUACAGUAAUAUACUUUCACUGAGCUGUUAAUGUAUACUAGUACUCACAUUGGGACCUGUGCACCCUCUUACAAUCGGUCGUUUAUCACGGUGGUUUGAGGGAACCACAGUUGGGCAAAAAACAUCAAGGGUUUCACUAUAGGCUUCAUUUUUCAUUGGGCUUGUCUCACCGGCUCCUCUGUGUUGCCAAUCAACAGGGAGUUACGGUUAGGCAGUUGGGCAGAAAAUAAUAAACUAUAAUGUAAUUAUAUAUAUAAUUCUGUGGGUUAUAUUGCAUAUGAGUCAGUGUUAAUGCACGACACAUGUUGUGUCUCAACUUUGCUACACUGACUGUUGUCCGUCACCCCAAUUGCGUGGGGCGAGUUGCAUUGCGUCGUUCUGGUGGCCCGGGACUCGCCCACAGUACUUGGCGACCCGGAUUUUGCGUGUUGCAUUGCGUGUUGCGUUGCGUUUUCUUGGGUUGUUGCGUUACCCACUAUUAACAGUUGCUAGCCAAAUUGAUAUAUAUGCAUUUUAUUAAGAGGGAACUCUUGUUGCUCAGCCCGGCUUACUCUCGGCCAUGGAGACCUCCCGACCUCUGACUAUAGUCGAGUCCUUAAGCCAUAAUCAUAUAGUCAGUAACGUAACACGGCCUUUUCAUCCCACAUAUUACACACUAUUAACAUGUUCUUAAAUCUUUGUAUGUUGUUGUUGUUGUACCAGCUUUGGAUGGCCAAAACAAAUGAAUAAACUCGUGUAAAGGUU